GAUGAACGCUGGCGGCGUGCCUAAUACAUGCAAGUCGAGCGAACGGACGAGAAGCUUGCUUCUCUGAUGUUAGCGGCGGACGGGUGAGUAACACGUGGAUAACCUACCUAUAAGACUGGGAUAACUUCGGGAAACCGGAGCUAAUACCGGAUAAUAUUUUGAACCGCAUGGUUCAAAAGUGAAAGACGGUCUUGCUGUCACUUAUAGGUGGAUCCGCGCUGCAUUAGCUAGUUGGUAAGGUAACGGCUUACCAAGGCAACGAUGCAUAGCCGACCUGAGAGGGUGAUCGGCCACACUGGAACUGAGACACGGUCCAGACUCCUACGGGAGGCAGCAGUAGGGAAUCUUCCGCAAUGGGCGAAAGCCUGACGGAGCAACGCCGCGUGAGUGAUGAAGGUCUUCGGAUCGUAAAACUCUGUUAUUAGGGAAGAACAUAUGUGUAAGUAACUGUGCACAUCUUGACGGUACCUAAUCAGAAAGCCACGGCUAACUACGUGCCAGCAGCCGCGGUAAUACGUAGGUGGCAAGCGUUAUCCGGAAUUAUUGGGCGUAAAGCGCGCGUAGGCGGUUUUUUAAGUCUGAUGUGAAAGCCCACGGCUCAACCGUGGAGGGUCAUUGGAAACUGGAAAACUUGAGUGCAGAAGAGGAAAGUGGAAUUCCAUGUGUAGCGGUGAAAUGCGCAGAGAUAUGGAGGAACACCAGUGGCGAAGGCGACUUUCUGGUCUGUAACUGACGCUGAUGUGCGAAAGCGUGGGGAUCAAACAGGAUUAGAUACCCUGGUAGUCCACGCCGUAAACGAUGAGUGCUAAGUGUUAGGGGGUUUCCGCCCCUUAGUGCUGCAGCUAACGCAUUAAGCACUCCGCCUGGGGAGUACGACCGCAAGGUUGAAACUCAAAGGAAUUGACGGGGACCCGCACAAGCGGUGGAGCAUGUGGUUUAAUUCGAAGCAACGCGAAGAACCUUACCAAAUCUUGACAUCCUUUGACAACUCUAGAGAUAGAGCCUUCCCCUUCGGGGGACAAGGUGACAGGUGGUGCAUGGUUGUCGUCAGCUCGUGUCGUGAGAUGUUGGGUUAAGUCCCGCAACGAGCGCAACCCUUAAGCUUAGUUGCCAUCAUUAAGUUGGGCACUCUAAGUUGACUGCCGGUGACAAACCGGAGGAAGGUGGGGAUGACGUCAAAUCAUCAUGCCCCUUAUGAUUUGGGCUACACACGUGCUACAAUGGACAAUACAAAGGGCAGCGAAACCGCGAGGUCAAGCAAAUCCCAUAAAGUUGUUCUCAGUUCGGAUUGUAGUCUGCAACUCGACUACAUGAAGCUGGAAUCGCUAGUAAUCGUAGAUCAGCAUGCUACGGUGAAUACGUUCCCGGGUCU
rnacentral:rRNA from 1 species